rnacentral:tRNA from 1 species
AUCAGUGUGGCAUAGUGGCUUGAGUGUUGGAUUAUGACUCUGGAGACCAGGGUUCAAUUCCCAACUUAGCUA